rnacentral:rRNA from 1 species
GACGAACGCUGGCGGCAUGCCUAAUACAUGCAAGUAGAACGCUGAAGGAGGAGCUUGCUUCUCUGGAUGAGUUGCGAACGGGUGAGUAACGCGUAGGUAACCUGCCUGGUAGCGGGGGAUAACUAUUGGAAACGAUAGCUAAUACCGCAUAAGAGUAGAUGUUGCAUGACAUUUGCUUAAAAGGUGCAAUUGCAUCACUACCAGAUGGACCUGCGUUGUAUUAGCUAGUUGGUGGGGUAACGGCUCACCAAGGCGACGAUACAUAGCCGACCUGAGAGGGUGAUCGGCCACACUGGGACUGAGACACGGCCCAGACUCCUACGGGAAGCAGCAGUAGGGAAUCUUCGGCAAUGGACGGAAGUCUGACCGAGCAACGCCGCGUGAGUGAAGAAGGUUUUCGGAUCGGAAAGCUCUGUUGUAAGGGAAGAACGAGUGUGAGAGUGGAAAGUUCACACUGUGACGGUAUCUUACCAGAAAGGGACGGCUAACUACGUG